UUAUGACCAAGUUUCGCGACAAUGCUGGAUGUCGAAAUUUGCACAAUAAUCAUUGUUUCCAUACUGCCGAGGAAUGCAGUACGGAAACGUAUCAACUAAAACAGCAAUGCCUUUUGCUGCACAUUUUGGAUACCCAAUUUUCAAUACCGGUGGAAGGCACAGAGAUUUCUAGCGAAGAGACUAUGCUUUGUUUCCUGCAAUUCUGCAACAGAAGAUAUGCAAAAUACUGGAAGAAGGCUUUUCUAGACUAUUUAGAUGCCUUACACAAGAUGGCCCACCACCUGCUCAUGGCACCAUUGCCAAGAAUAGGCUCGUGAACACCUACUUUGUCGCACAUGCAGUAGUAAGGAAGAGGUGGUGGCAAGGAUGGUGGCCCCAGCUCGUGCCCUCGUGCUUUAUUCCUGCUUUUAGGUGGCAUCCGCCACCUUGUGUAGGUCAAACUAUAUGUGUGGGGACACGCGCUCUUGCUGAAUCUCGCAUAUCCCCUCUUGCAAGGUGCCCCAUAGCUUGGAACAGAAGGGAACGAAGACACAGCACUGUGUUCUGUCGUCCUGCGUGUUCUCUUGCGCUUACCCUCAAGUUAUGCAGUACCAACUAGCCUACCAGUCUAUUCUCAUGCCCCAUAGUCGACAGUUAAAAUGUUCAUUAGUAAAAUAUAGUCAGGUAAUCAUUGCAUUGGUAAUUGUCAUGCAUAUUUUGAUGCCCGCCACUGGCGCAAAGCUUGGUCAGCAGAAAUAGUCACUUUUUCUCGGGUCCCCUAUAUUUUAAUCAUUUCAGACAGUCAUCAUAAAGAACAUGUAUACUGUCUUAUUCCAAACACAAGACAAAAUGGUCGCAAGAAGAUUGAGAUUUGAUUAACAGUGGCCAGAUUAGGGAAGCCUCAACCACAAGCCAAUGCUUAAACAAGAGUGGCUACAGUAGACAUAAAUCACAAGAAGUUACAUAGUGGAGCACUUUGCAUUGCGCAGGAAGCCAGACUUCUUCAGCAAAACUGCUGCCACUUCCACUCACCAAUGAGUCCAGCGUGCAGCUGGGUCGUCCACAAGCUUGGAAACUUACUCCACAGAAGACGAAGCUUCAAGAAAGAAAAAAGGUCACUACUGCAACCUUUGCCCCUAUGUUGCGAAGAGUUCACCAUCUUUGAGACAACACAUGCUGACUCAUACUGGAGAGAGGCCCUUUGAGUGCACCGUCUGCUUGGCUAGGUUUGCGCAAGUGGGAACACUUUCAAAUCACAUGCGCAGGCACAGUGGAGAAAAACCGUUUCAGUGUGCCCUCUGCCCAUAUAGAUCGGCUACCAGGAGUUCCAUCUUGUACCACAUCAAAAACCACACUGGUGACAAGCCCUUUGCAUGUAACGAGUGCUCUUACGUCACCGCAAACAGAACGGAUCUGGUAAAACAUGUCCGCAUUCAUACAGGCGAAAAGCCAUACAAGUGUAAGGAGUGCUCAUA